rnacentral:rRNA from 1 species
UACGUAGGUCCCGAGCGUUGUCCGGAUUUAUUGGGCGUAAAGCGAGCGCAGGUGGUUUAUUAAGUCUGGUGUAAAAGGCAGUGGCUCAACCAUUGUAUGCAUUGGAAACUGGUAGACUUGAGUGCAGGAGAGGAGAGUGGAAUUCCACGUGUAGCGGUGAAAUGCGUAGAUAUAUGGAGGAACACCGGUGGCGAAAGCGGCUCUCUGGCCUGUAACUGACACUGAGGCUCGAAAGCGUGGGGAGUAAACAGG